CUGAGAUUUUUAUGUUUUCUUUCAUGUUUUCCUGGUGCUUUUUGAAUAUUUAUAUCAAAUAUACUCUCUUUCCGUUCUUGAUUUUCGGUUAAUUGUUGCAAUCAAAUUUUCUUCUUUUGGUUAUUUUCUAUGGUAUUUUCUGCGAUUCUUUAAUCUUUGACGAAAUACUCAUAAAUUGCUUUCUUACAAUUUGAGGAUUUUAGUUUUAAUUUCAGUUGGAGUUUUCUGCAAACAAAAGUUUCAGACCCUUCCACUCCUCCAUUUGUUCUACCAAAAGCAAAGAUGAAAAAAGAAUAGAGGAAAAGGAAAAGUUGUACCGAUCUGUUGCCGAAGAUUUAAAAUAAAUGUCGGAAUAUUUGUAUGAAGAUCGAGAAUGCUGGUUGUUCAAGCGCCACCAGCAUUAUGGAAACACGCUGAUGUCUCAAAAAUAAAACAAAAUGAUUGUCAGCCUUGAAAGAUCAUCAAUGCUUGGGAGGACAUUAUUUGCUAUCAUAUUAACUCUCCAACCAGGCAUAGUUGCUCUAGAGUUUCAAUAUGUUCUGUGGAAUUUUCUAGCUAAUAAUUUACUUGCUGGAAAUAAUUUCCAUGUUGUCUUUUUCUCUAUUUUUUCAUCAUUCUUUUUAUCUUUGGAACCUUAAAGUUAUUUAAGAGUAUGAAUAUGUUGUUCCCAAAUUUUGUAUGCUGGUGGGGAAAGAUAUAGGAUAAUUGUACUUUAUAAUGGGAGAGUGGGAACUUUAUUCAUAAUUUUAUGAUUGAAAUUUGAUCACUGAGCAAAACCUUUAUGGUAAUCCUCUAUAUAAAUGAGAUUAUUAUUUCUGUUUGUUUCAA